GAGUACUUUUCAUAAAAAGUCAGACACUUUACAUGAAUAAAAAUGUUUUAAAGAAAAACAACAAAUAUAUAAAACAUACAACAUUAUUGACACAUUAAAAUUAGUUCUAAAAAUGUGAGUUUUGUUUUGUGUCUUGGAUUUGGACAGGUUGGAGCAGUCUCCGAUGUGUUUGGUGAGCGAGUUCCAGAGGGAGGAGGCAGCUAUGGAGAAUGCUCUCCGCCCCAAGUCCAGUUCUUCGUCGUGAGUGGUGGAGACAGGAGGUUGGCAUUCGAAGAGCAGCGGCUGCAAAGAGAGUGUGGUUGUGGAGCAGGUCGGUGAGCCCGCCAGGACCUGCAGCACCAGCCGGAGCCUGCGGUCCAGGGCCUGGAGGUGGCGCUGGAUGAGGAUCGGGGACAGUCGGUCGCGGAGCAGCGACUCCUCCAUCAGGGAGCUCAGCUGGUACUCCUCUUUGGCCAGCAGCUGGAGACGCAGAUGGAUUUCCACAGUAGAUUUCAAGACAAAAAAAGAGAGAUAUCUUGCUCUGGUCUAAAGUGUUAGAAGGGCUGUAGGAAGGACUGACUGACUGCCAUUAAUCCGACCAAAAGGACAGUUAUAAAUUCACAGACAAACCAAAAGUCUGACCUGCAGCACUGGCUGAGAGGAACCAGGAUGGACAGCUCAUCAUGGGAGUGUUUUCCAAACCUACGAGGGAGCGAAUAAAGAUCAGAAGAUGGAAGCAGGAAUCAUCACAAACACUGUUGUUCAGCCUAUUGCUUCAUUUAUUCGGAUGGAACCGAUUUCAAUCAAUCAUUUUAAUUACUAUAAUACCUCAGGAUUUGUCACAUGUUUAUUUAAGUGAUUUUCAGUGUU